GGCAGAACAUGCAUCACCAGCUUUUUUCAAAUCUGCACUUUGACCCUCGUGGGAAGCUUAGUUCCUAAGCAUGAAUUUGCACGCGCUCUAAUAGACAUUCUACUGAUUGCUAACAUGAGGCCUCCAGGUGAUGUUCCAUCAAACUACGCAGAACAUGCAUCACCAGCUUUUUUCAAAUCUGCACUUUGACCCUUGUGGGAAGCUUAGUUCCUAAGCCUGAAUUUGCACGCGCUCUAAUAGACAUUCUACUGAUUGCUAACAUGAGGCCUCCAGGUGAUGUUCCAUCAAACUAGAGUGAUCCCAAGAACAAAUCUGACAAACUUCUCUUUCGUACUGCAUGUCACGAAAUCGCUGCCAGAGCAGAAGUUCAACAAGGAGAAAUGAAGAUGACAAAAGUUGUACAGUCUACUUCAAAAAUGGACAACAUUAUCACCAAUAUCUUUUCUUCUUCAUAUCUAAAAAAACCAAAAUAGUUUGCUUUAUACUGCAUGUCACAAAAGGGUUGUCAGAGCAGAAGUUCAACAAGGGGAAAGAGAUGCAAACAUAUCUGAGAAACUUCACUAUUACCACAUGUCACACAAAGGAUGCCAGAGCAGAAGACCGAACAUCAUAGAGAGGCUUCAUGUUACCAAUCUGUUUGAUGCCUAUUUUAGGUAAUGCAGAAUUCAAGUGUAAAAACUAUAGUUUCCUGGUCAGGGUAAUGAUUAGACUGUGGAAUGUCUAAUUUGACUCUGUGUCAUUGUGUGGCAUCUAGUUAACAAAUCCUAUGACUUGUAUUACAUAGAAUACGGAAUUUAAAUUUAAGUACUAUAGUUUCCGUGUUAUUGGAAUGGUAAAUUUGAAAAGGUUCUGUUGAUCCCUGUGUUAUAAAAUGAUUGAUUGAAAUCCACUCAAAACAGAGUUCAAAAUUAGUUCUUUUAUUCUUGUAUUAUUUGGACAGAGAGCAAAGCAAGUGUAUAAUCAGUGUUUAAUCAAAGUUGAUUAAUACAUACAAUUUCUCUAGUUACCUGUAAUAUUUCUAACAAUAAAAUAUUUGCCCAUCAAGGCUAGCAAUAAAUGUACGUGCCCACCUAGGCUAACAACUGUGUUCAAUAAA